rnacentral:rRNA from 1 species
UCUAAGUAUAAACGAUUUAAUCGUGAAACCGCGAAUGGCUCAUUAUAACAGCUAUAAUUUACUUGAUCUUGACACAAUCCUACUUGGAUAACUGUGGUAAUUCUAGAGCUAAUACAUGCAUUAAAGCUCUGACCUCACGGGAAGAGUGCAUUUAUUAGAACAAAACCAAGCGGCUUCGGCUGUUUCUGGUUGACUCAUAGUAACUGAGCUGAUCGCAUGGUCUUGCACCGGCGACGUGUCUUUCAAGUAUCUGCCGUAUCAACUUUCGAUGGUAGUGUAUCUGACUACCAUGGUGAUCACGCGUAACGGAGAAUAAGGGUUCGGCUCCGGAGAGUUCGCCUGAGAAAUCGCGAACACAUCUAAGGAAGGCAGCAGGCGCGAAAAUUACCCACUCUCAGCACGAGGAGGUAGUGACGAAAAAUAACGAGACCGUUCUCUUUCGAGGCCGGUCAUCGGAAUGGGUACAAUUUAAACCCUUUAACGAGUAUCUAUGAGAGGGCAAGUCUGGUGCCAG